rnacentral:rRNA from 1 species
AGUGGGGAAUAUUGGACAAUGGGGGCAACCCUGAUCCAGCGAUGCCGCGUGUGCGAAGAAGGCCUGCGGGUUGUAAAGCACUUUGAGUGGGGAAGAAAGGCUUAAGUCGAAUAGGCUUAAGAGUUGACGUUACCCACAGAACAAGCACCGGCUAACUCUGUGCCAGCAGCCGCGGUAAUACAGAGGGUGCAAGCGUUAAUCGGAAUUACUGGGCGUAAAGGGCGCGUAGGCGGAAUAUUAAGUUAGAUGUGAAAUCCCUGGGCUUAACCUGGGAAUGGCAUUUAAUACUGAUAAUCUAGAGUAGAGUAGAGGGAAGUGGAAUUUCCGGUGUAGCGGUGAAAUGCGUAGAGAUCGGAAAGAACACCAGUGGCGAAGGCGGCUUCCUGGACUCAUACUGACGCUGAGGCGCGAAAGCGUGGGGAGCAAA